rnacentral:rRNA from 1 species
UGCAUAUCAAUAAGCGGAGGAAAUGAAACCAACAGGGGUUGCCUCAGUAGCGGCGAGUGAAGCGGCAAGAGCUCAGAUUUGAAAUCUCACCUAGUGUGCGAGUUGUAAAUUGCAGGUUGGAGUCUCGGGUUAGACGUGUGUGCAAGUCCCUUGGAACAGGGCGCCACUGAGGGUGAGAGCCCCGUAUCGUGCAYGUCGAYACCUGUGAGGCCCUUCUGACGAGUCGAGUUGUUUGGGAAUGCAGCUCUAAGUGGGUGGUAAAUUCCAUCUAAGGCUAAAUAUUGGCGAGAGACCGAUAGCGAACAAGUACUGUGAAGGAAAGAUGAAAAGCACUUUGAAAAGAGAGUGAAACAGCACGUGAAAUUGUUGAAAGGGAAGGGUAUUGGGCUCGACAUGGGAUUUACGCAUCGUUGCCUCUCGUGGGCGGCGCUCUGGGUUUUUCCUGGGCCAGCAUCGGUUUUCGUUGCAGGAUAAGGACAAUUGGAAUGUGGCUCCUCGGAGUGUUAUAGCCUUUUGUAGAUGCUGCGUAUGGGGACCGAGGGCUGCGGCGGACUCG